ACUGCUCAGUAACACGUGGAUAACCUGCCCUUGGGUCCGGGAUAACCCCGGGAAACUGGGACUAAUACCGGAUAGAUCAAAGAUACUGGAAUGUUCUCUGGUCUAAAGCUCCGGUGCCCAAGGAUGGGUCUGCGGCCUAUCAGGUAGUAGUGGGUGUAACGUACCUACUAGCCUACGACGGGUAAGGGUUGUGAGAGCAAGAUCCCUGAGAUGGAUUCUGAGACAUGAAUCCAGGCCCUACGGGGUGCAGCAGGCGCGAAACCUUUACACUGCGGGAAACCGCGAUAAGGGGACCCCGAGUGCCAGCACCUAGUGCUGGCUGUCCCGCUGUUCAAAUAACAGUGGUUAGCAAGGGCCGGGCAAGACCGGUGCCAGCCGCCGCGGUAACACCGGCGGCCCGAGUGGUAGCCGCUAUUAUUGGGUUUAAAGGGCCCGUAGCCGGCCUAUUAAGUCUCUUGGGAAAUCUGGCGGCUUAAUCGUCAGGCGGCCAAGAGAUACUGGUAGGCUUGGGACCGGGAGAGGUGGGAGGUACUCCAGGGGUAGGGGUGAAAUCUCGUAAUCCUUGGGGGACCACCGAUGGCGAAGGCAUCCCACCAGAACGGGUCCGACGGUGAGGGACGAAAGCUGGGGGCACGAACCGGAUUAGAUACCCGGGUAGUCCCAGCUGUAAACGAUGCUCGCUAGGUGUCAGGUGCGGUGCGACCGCAUCUGGUGCCGCAGUGAAAACUUGAAGCGAGUCACCUGGGAAGUACGGUCGCAAGGCUGAAACUUAAAGGAAUUGGCGGGGGAGCAC
rnacentral:rRNA from 1 species